UACGUAGGGUGCGAGCGUUAAUCGGAAUUACUGGGCGUAAAGCGUGCGCAGGCGGCGCGUUAAGACAGGUGUGAAAGCCCCGAGCUUAACUUGGGAAUUGCGCUUGUGACUGGCGUGCUGGAGUGUGGCAGAGGGAGGUGGAAUUCCACGUGUAGCAGUGAAAUGCGUAGAGAUGUGGAGGAACACCGGUGGCGAAGGCAGCCUCCUGGGCCAGCACUGACGCUCAUGCACGAAAGCGUGGGGAGCAAACAGG
rnacentral:rRNA from 1 species